rnacentral:rRNA from 1 species
AUUGAACGCUGGCGGGAGGCCUAACACAUGCAAGUCGAACGAGUGGCGGACGGGUUAUUAAUGUCUGUGCAACUGCCUGCUGGAGGGGGAUAACUACUGGAAACUGUAGCUGAUACCGCAUACCAUCGGAUGUGCCCAGAUGGGAUUAGCUAGUAGGGGGGGUAACGGCUCACCUCGGCGACGAUCCCUAGCUGGUAUGAGAGGACGACCAGCAACACUGGAACUGAGACACGGUCCAGACUCCUACGGGAGGCAGCAGUGGGGAAUAUUGCACAAUGGGCGCAAGCCUGAUGCAGCCAUGCCGCGUGUAUGAAGAAGGCCUUCGGGUUGUAAAGCACUUUUAGCGGGGAGGCGUUACCCGCAGAAGAAGCACCGGCUAACUCCGUGCCAGCAGCCGCGGUAAUUC